rnacentral:rRNA from 1 species
AUUACCGCGGCUGCUGGCACGUAGUUAGCCGGUGCUUAUUCUUACGGUACCGUCAUGGACCCCAGGUAUUAACCAGAGUCUUUUCGUUCCGUACAAAAGCAGUUUACAACCCGAAGGCCUUCAUCCUGCACGCGGCAUUGCUGGAUCAGGCUUUCGCCCAUUGUCCAAAAUUCCCCACUGCUGCCUCCCGUAGG